rnacentral:tRNA from 1 species
UAAGCAGAAGCUAUCUUGCAUCUAACUGUUACUUAGACCAUAGCUUAUAUAAUAAGCCUGCUUAA